rnacentral:misc_RNA from 1 species
AUUUCUAUCGCAUCUCCUUAGUUAGAAGAGUUCAAUUAAACGGUGUAUUUUGUACCACGACAUAAUGUUAUAAAUCCGGAACACAAUGGCGUUUCGAACAGAAGUCAGACAUGUUGUGACGAUGUAGCCUUCCACCUUAAGCUUCUCUGUGCCAUGUCGCAGAGCUUUUGGUUUGCUGUCCAAAUUAUCGAAUUGUCGGGACCUCUUGCGAAGAAUGUUGGCCUGGAUUCCGAGGUGUUAAUUGUGCAGAGGAUUGUGCAAAGGGUUUUUAUGGAAGACUCUGCAGAGAGAAGUGUUUGUGUGAUCCGUGUGAUAAAGUCAAAGGAUGUCAAAACAUAACGCUUCUCAAUUGGAACUAUACUCAUUUAGAGGAAGAUGAAGGUCCAACGAGAUUUCACUGGUUUUCAAUACAAAUUGUGUCAUUUGGUGGAUUUGUAGUUUUUUGCAUCUUAUGCCUUUCUGUCUUUUGUAUAUUCAGACGUUCAGAAUGACAAGGAUCUUUCCGAGAAACUACCACAUAGCCUUUCGCAAAAGACUAGCAGUGUUGAUGAAGCCGUAUCAAAUAAUACAGAUUCAGAUGCUCAUUGCAAUGACGUUUGUCAAAGGAAAUAUUGUUUUCCCAUAAAAGAAACCGAUAAACCCAAAGCUUUGCAAUACUAUCAUAUUGAUCCGAUCGAUGAACCUCACAAUAUUCUUAAACUUUCAUUUAAAAAUGAUCUUAAAAAAAUGAAAAGUGAGACACAACCUUUCCAAAAACUGAGCCAUGCUCAACAUGAUACUUUUGAAAGAAAACGAUGUCGGGAAGCUGCGGGUAUGUUAUAACGGAAUCAAUCUAAAUGUUGUAUAAUAAAAUUGUUAUGUUUG